rnacentral:lncRNA from 1 species
UGACACUGCCGUUCCACAACACGGUCGCAGAGGAGAUGAUCGAAUUGACGUUGAUGCCGAGAUGUUCGCGUUUGGGAUCCCAUUCGUUGGAGAAGGUAUCGAACUCUACGGCCACGGCGUUAAUUGUGGAAUUUAUGAUGCUUAUAUUGGAGAAGAGGCCGAGGUAGCCACCUUCGGAAUAGACAGGCGUACCGGAAGAAGAAUAAUUGGCCGUGAGGAAGAACGCGAGGCCGUCGGCAUAGUUCUCCUCGUGGGAGUGGAUGAGGAAGGCGAAUUGGGUGGUGAAAUCAGUCAGUUCUCCCGUCUUGGCAUCCCACAGGAGCAGCGGUUCACUGUACAGUACUCUGCCGACGCUAGCCAUGUUGGCUCCAUCCUUGGUGAGUAGUAUGGUGGUGUCGUUGAUGACUACGUUGCCUUGAACGGUCAUCUUCGACAUUGUGUCUUGAUUGAAACCGGAGAAGUUGAAGGACAGAGAGCUCGUACAGGCGAUCAUGGUGGAGAAGCAGAACAGAAGGCAUAAAGCCCUCGCUCUGUGCGGCAUCAUGGCUGACAAAUUCACAGAGAUCAUUGCUCAUUAGAGAAGAAGAUGCCAACACAGCUUAUCAUCAUAAACCAGAUGUUCUAAAAGCUAAAAUAUAGGGAAUCUGCCAAGUUUUCAUCAGAAUGAGAGAGAAGCUAGUCAACAAUUUUGACAGUUAAAACUAAGUAAUCCACCAAAAAGUAUAACUUUUUUUUUUGUUAGAUUAUAUGAUUCUAUUUAAUUAGAUAAAUAUAAUAUAAAUUUAAUAAAAAAAUUUAUUUAUGAUAGAUUUCUUAAAAGAUAACAUGAGAAACUUUCCUAAUUACUUAUAAUAGAUCCUAAUUCUAAAGACUCAAUAUGAUAAUAUACACAAGAAUUAGAGAAAGAUAUUAUAAUUCUCUUUACAAAUCGAUAUUGUUACAUUCUACAUAUUGAACUACGUUCUACAAAUCAAAUAAAGGUAUUUUGAAUGGUAUUGAAAGAUAUGCACAUAUAAUAUUUGAUAUAUAGAUGUUUGAUUUCAUAUUCUAACAUUAAAUUUAUUUUAUAUAAUAGUAUUAUAUGAUUUUAUGCUUACAAUUAGCAUCAAAGCCUAUUGUUUUGAAGUCGAAUACAUUAGAUCAUAAAAAUAUAUCAUAUAUAUUUUGUUUUAGAUAUAUUUAUUAGCAUCUUUGCUUGCAAAAUUAUGUUGUCCAAUUUUGAUCUACGAUACGUUGUUAACAACUUGUUGUCGACGACAACAAUAUGGACAACAACAACUUUCUACGGUUGCUAGCCCUAUCGUGGAUGAUUUAUGUUCAUAACAAAGAUACAUGUCGGCGUUGCCAUAAAUGACAUGUUGUCGUUGGAGGUGCGAUGAUUGGUCGACGACCUACUAUGGUCGUUGGACUUAAGGUGUGAUGGCCUAUUGCAUGCGAUGGAGUCAUCGCUACUGUCGGUGGUAACCCAUCCCACUGUGGCUACCAAUCUUGCCUAGGUAGUGGUGGCGGUCAUUUGCCCAUAUGUGGUGACCAUGAUAUGGGUGGUUGAAGUUAUUAAUGGUAGACAUCAACAUUGUAGGACAAUUGUAAGGCUGUUGGUCUAGUGAGUGCUAGUCAUAGGUGCCCUAUAAGUCAAUCAUGUGAGUGAUGGUAUGUGUGACAUGAUACAUGUUCUUUUUACUUAUUAUAUUAUUUGACAUUUUAUCACUUUAUAUUAUUUUUUACAUAUGUAUAUAUUGUGAUGUCCGUGGAUCUAUGUAAUGAUAAUCGGAUCAUGAUGAGAUCACGAUAAUGAGACUGAUUCACCUUUAAACACAAAUCCUAAAUAAUCUCGAUUAUAGAUUACCCGAGAGGGACAUCGAGAUAACUGUAGAGACUGAUAUACUAUAUAUCUAUCCAUAUGAUGGAGGUGACUAGUCACAUAGCUGCUCGUGUGAGACACUAAGGAUACAAUGCAGGUGCUCAUUAGAGAAUGAGUUCAUUGAUUGAUUCGCUCAUAGAAUAUUGGAUGGUUGAUGAUGCCUUAUUGUUAUACAACAAUUCCAUCGUCUUAGUGGUGUAUCUAGUCCUUAGACUUGAGAUACCAAAUAUGUCCUAUAUGAGUACUCCACUCUUUGAUACCAGAUUUAUAAGUCUAGAAACUCUAGAUCUAAUAUUGCUUGUUAUUAGGAGUGAUAGCCAACCUUACGAGGGCUAUUAAGUGUCAAUAGAGGAAUAUCCACUCUCGGUGUUAUGAGAGAAAUAUCUCAUGUAUUCUUACUUAGACAAAUUACUAGCUAUGGUCAUUCAGAAUGAGAGAGAUAGAGUUCUCCAAGAGAAUCCGAUUAGAGUGAGACUCGAGUAAAAACUAUAUGGGCUUUACAGCACCAUACUUGGAAUACAAUCUUUGGGAUAUUAAAUGGAUGAGGGACUAUAGAUACAUGGUAAUUGAGAACAAACAGGUCUAAAAGAUUGGAUUCUCUUGUAUCGUUUUGAGACUGCGGUGUAGUGGCAUAGUAUGUUCGUAGUCGAUGAGUCAAGUGAAUUAUCAAGGAGAUAAUAAUUCAUUGAGCCAGAAGAAGUUCUGAUAGGUAUGUCUCAUGGCCAGCUCGAUAUUAGGCCUAGAGGGUCAUACACAUAUAAUAGGUAUUGUGACUGAGUAGAUAUUCGGAUAUGAGAUAUCUGUUGGAGCCCAUAUCUUAUUGGAUAUCUAAUAAACCCCUAAGUUAUUGGAUCAUAUGGAUGAAAUUCAAUAAGAGUCAAUGAAGGAUUAUUAGAUAGAUACCCAUUAAUCUAAGAGGCUUAGAUAGUUGGAUAGAGAUCCAGUACCCAAUAUUGCAGGAUCCAUUAUAGGAAAGAACCAAAGGGUCAUGAGCUAGGUUUUUUGGCUGCCACCUCUUAUUCUCCUCUCCCCUUCUCCUCCUCAACCUGUAGUCCCUAUUUGGGGCAUGUGGACAACAUGAAGGGGCAGCCUCUUCUAGAUUACGUGGUGCGCACUAGGAAGACAUUUUAGGCAGCGAUUUGAAGAGCGUCUUCGUAGCCCCUACCAUGUGGAUCAUCAUUAAAGAGGAGAAUAGUUGACCUCCUUCAUCCUCUCUCAUAGAUCUAUAAGUUUUUAGGGAUAUACGAUCUUCUUAGGUAAUACAUAUUUUUUUAUACGCGUAGUUUUCUGUUUCGCGAGUUUUUGCGCACCAACUUUUGUACAACGAUAAAACCUUCUUUUCUACGAAAAAUUCUGAGACUUUUUUAAUUUUUUAUUCUUCAUAUGACACCACACUAGAUUUUCCAAUAGUGAGGAGGGCCACGAGGUGUCCUCGUCGCAAUAUGGAGGCUACACAAAUGAUAGUGUUGUUGUGCAUCACAACAAAGGUGUAGCGGGCCUUAUUGUGGGCAACAACUACAUUGGUGCAAUAGCAUUUUCCACAUCAAUGGUGGUCUUUGGCUAUCGUGCUAAUGGUUUUCUAGCUAUCGUUGGCAUGGCAAGUCACGGUAAGAAGGAUCACGACAAUGCGUCAUGAUAGUGGAUCUCGGUCGCAUGCUUGCUUAUGACCAAGGUUAAUGGUGUUGCUAAAGUCCACAAGGCCCAUGGCGAUGGGUUUUGGUGUGACAACUAUCUAGUGGACAAUGAUGGUGACGACAAACAAUGAUGCUACGUUGUCGACACUCGAGGAGGUUGUGGUCAUUGGGUGGUAUGUUCAGUGGCCUUACAUUUGUCGAUGGUAACAUGCACCACUGAUAAAGACUCGCGUAGUUGGGCAACAACAUAGGCAAGUUAUGGUCCAAUAUCAAUUUGGAGAAAGGGUGAAGGUUUUAGGGCUUCCACCUUACAAAAGAUCAAUUUUACCCAUAUGAAAUCUAUUAAUUUUAGUUGAUAUCCCUUUAUGACAUUUUUACCCUUUAAAAAUAGAUAAUUCCAAUAUAUAUCCUAAAAAAAUUAUAUUUGCCCUUUAAAAAUCAACUAUUUCUAAUCUAUGCUUUUAAUUGUAAAAUUUUUACAAUGACGUAAAUAAUUAAGAGAUUUAGAUAAUUAUGUGAUGGGAUAGGAUAAUAUUAUUUUAGAUAUCCUAGCAAUUUAGAGUUGUAUAACCAAAGAUAAUAAUAUUAUUCCACAAGGAUAAUAUUAAUCAUCCAUAAAUAAUUUUUUAAGUGAACAUCAGAUAUAUUAAUAUUUCACCCUAAGGUGAAAUAUGGAUGAUAUUAAUAGUUCAUUAUAUUUUAAAAACUUAAAAUAUUAAUAUUAUUUUAUAUUUCACAGUGAUACUUUCUUCCAUGCAUUCUCAUACAUUUAGUAUUCGUAUACUCUUUCGUUCAAAUUAUUCAAAAUAGUUAAAGAAUAUACAGUUCAUAUUGGGUAUAUUAAAUUUUUACCUAACAUGGCUUAUUGAAAGAUCCAUAGACUUGAUUGAUAAAGCACUAUAAAAUAAAUUAAUGAAAUAAAUUCUUAAGAAAGAUAUAAUAAACUUAGUCUAAUGCUUAUAAGAAUGAUAAUUGUAAAUAAUAUUAAGACUUCAUCACCGCCUACAAGUAACACAUUAGAAUAUUUGAGGGUUAUUAAAAAUAGGUUUAAAUUUAUUGAUAAUUUAUUAAUGGACACAUUAGUAAAAAAACUAACUAUGACUUAGCAUGAUGAUAUUCGGGAGGAUUCAAGAUCAUAUCCUUAAUAUGGCUAACAAGGCUUUGAAACAUAAGGCAUUAUGCAUAUAUGUGAAUGGGUAUUUCCUCGUGUAAUUUAUUCUUAAUUCUCUUUCUUCUCAGUUUGACCUAUUCAAAAUUCAUUAUGAUAUAAGUAAGGAUAAAUAAGACUUGAAUGAGUUGACUAGUAUCUGUGUUUAAGAAAAAUUAAGGUUAAGGUAUGAAAGAUCUCACAAUGUCUUGACUACUACUCAAGUAGUUAGUAAUAAAAAAAAAUGGAAACAUCAUCUACCAAAUAAAUUUAUCGGGUCCAAAAAUGUUAAGCAUACUAAUAAAAAGAAAACCUCAUAAUAAAGUAAUUUUUUUGAUAAGAAAAGACAUAUGAAAAAAGAAUACAUGUAAGACUUGGUUUGAAAAGAAAGAGAUAAAUUUGACUUUUAUAUGUUUUGAAUCAAACAUUACAGAGAAUCCUUCUAAUAUUUGGUGGAUUCAUUUUGAUGCUUCAACUUAUGUUACUAAUAAUAUGCAAUGAUUUUAUUAUAACCUAAAAUUAAAAUAAAUAUAAAAAAUUCAUCAUUAUGGGGAAUGCUAUGUAAGCUUAUCACCUAUGUCUAAAGAUGGGUCAUCUAAUAGAUAUUGCAAACACAUGCUAUGUUUUUUACUUUUUUAAAAUUUUAGUUUUUCGAUCUAGAAUUGAUGUGUUAAUAUAUUAUAUUUCUUUUAUUAAUAGUAAAUAUAGUAAAUUUUAUGAUUCAAUAAAAGUUGUUAUGUAUAUAGUUUGCAUAGAAUUAAUUUGAAUCUUAAGUUUACUAAAAUAUAGUUAAAUAUUAAAUUAAAACGUAGUUUCAAUAAUGAAAAAUCUUCUAUCUUAUAGCAUAGACAUUUUGGGUAUAUAUUCAAAGAAAGUAUUGAAAGAUUAGUGAAAAAUAAUAUCUUGAAAGAUUUAGAAUUUACUAAUUUUGAUUUUAAUGUUUGUAUAUAUUGUAUUAAAGGAAAACAAAUUAAAUAUAUAUAAAUCACUGUAGUAAAAAACACCUUGAGAUUAUUUAUACUAAUAUUUACAAACCACUUUAUAUUUUCUAUUUCAGUGAAUAAAGAUAUAUUAUCAUAUUUAUAUAUGACUUAUCAAGAUAUGGUUAUGCAUAUCUAAUACAUAAAAGAUCUUAUACUGUUGACACUCUUGAAUUAUACAUAAAUGAAGUCAAGAGAUAAUUAGAUAAAAAAAAAUUAAAAUUAUCUAAUAGGGGUAGUGAAUUUUAUGAUAGAUAUGAUAAGUUAGGUUGGAAUCCUAUUCCUUUUGUUAGAUUCCUAAAAAAAUAAGGUAUUUGUGCUUAGUAUAUCUUAUUAAGUAUGCCACAAUAGAAUAGCAUUGUUGAAAAAUAAAAGCAUACUCUUAUAAACAUAAUUAAGAGUAUAAUGAGUUAUUUCUAUAUAUAUGAGUCGACGUGGAGUGAAGCACUUAGGAUAAUUAUAUAUAUCUUGAAUAAGGUUUUUAGUAAGUCAGUUUGAGUUAUAAAUUUAUAAGAAACUCAAUUUGAGAUAUCUAUAUAUUUGGGGUUAUCAUGCAGUGUUAAGAGUCUUUAAUCUACAUAAAAGAACUAUUUAUAGGUAUAUUAUUGUUUAUCCAAAAAAUUCCAAGAGAUCUAGAUUUUACACCUAAUUAUAGUAUGAGGAUAGUAGAAUAUAAUAAUACAAGAUUCUUAGAAAAUAUCAAAAUAGUGAAAGUUAAAAAAUCUCAAACGGUUAAUUUUGAUAUAGAGGAGAUAUAUGUUGAUGCUCCUUUAUCAUUUCUUAUUCGAGAGGUUGUUGUUCCUCAAAUCACUGAAUAAAUUACAACACUAAUAAACUCCCAUAUGAUAUUGAUAUCGCUGCUUAUAAUCUUGUAAAAUAAUCACAACCAAUAGUUUUGAGAAGAUCUCAAAAGAAAAGGGGAUAUGUUAUUUUUAAUGAUUAUAUAGUAUAUCUACAAAAACUAGAUUAUAACAUAAGAAUCAAAAUAGAUCCCUUCUCAUUUUUAUAUCAUAAAAAGCAAUGAUUAUAAAAAGUAAUACGAUGCAGAAGAGUUGAAAUUGAUAAACCAAAAUAAUAUUUGGGAACUCAUUGAAUUUUCUAACAACUAUAAAAGAGUCUAUUAUAAAUAGGUCUUUAAGAUAAAAUAUAACUCAAAUAAUAAUAUUGAAUGAUAUAAAAUUAAACUUAUGACCUAAAAAGAAGACAUCGAUUGUACUAAGCCUAUUUCUCUAGUUUUUAAAAGAGACUCGAUGAGAAUUGUUAUGACAUAAAUAGCCUAUUAUAAUAUUAAGUUACAUCAAAUGAAUAUAAAAAUAAAAUUUUUCAAUAUGGAUUUAGAUGAGUAAUCUACAUGAAAUAAGUAUUUAAGUAGAUAUCAUUGUUGAAUUUUUUUACUAGUUAAUUAAAUUUAUUUAUUUAUACUAUCCUAUUUAUAUUUAUGUAUAUAUAUAUUAAACUAAAUAUGAUAAUAGGAUUAUCUUGAUUAGACAAAUUACAUAGGUCAUUAUGGAUUAUAUUAGAAAAACUAAUAGUGUUAGUGGUACAUAAAAAGAAGUAUGAUAUCGAUGACAUACAACCACUAUGACUCACAUUGAUAAUCAAACUUAAUAAAGUGUUUAAAUUAUUAAUUUAUUUUAAAAUUAAUGUCCAUAUAUUUUUUUUAAUUUUUAAAAUUUGUUUAGAUAAAACUAUUUUUAAAUAAAAUUUUAUUUUAUUUAUUUUAAUUUUGAAUUCUAUGUUUAUAUUACUAAUUAAAGGAUCAAAUAACUUGUAUAAUUGGAUAAGAUAUAUUAUAGAUUUGAUUGGAUCUUGAUUAUGGUUAUCAAAUAAUAGAAAAAAAAUUUAUUUAUUUAUGAUAGGCUUUCUUAGGUUAUGACUUGGGAGGAAUAUCCUAAUUACUUAUCCUAAACCCUCUAAUUAAUAAAUAUGAUCUAUGCUUACGUGUCUAACUUCUACGUCGACAAGUCUGUGCAGGAGCAUGCAUCUAAAGCUGAGCAUUUAGAUCACGUACUGCUGCUUCUUCGCCUCAUCUAACUAUCGGCAUAAGCUUUUCUCACGUAUCCACAUAGAUCGUAAUUCUAACAUGUUAUAUAAUCUUCAACCAACAACAAUUACUACACAUUAAGAAAUGUGUUGAGAUUAACUGGGAACAUCAAGAAGUGGAAAGAAAGAUAUCAUGGGUUUCUGAGAAGGUACCUUUUGUGGUUCUUCCAAAAGGGUUCUGCUUGAGCAACGGAGGACCUGCACUGUAGCCAGAUGUAUCCACUGCCUUUAGGAUGCCGCUUGCUUUAUAUUAAUCCACCCGUCGUCCAUGAAAUGUUUCAAAAACCAUAUCCGACUGCAUCUGAAGGAUAUGGCUGUGCACAAUGAAAGGCCAAAGAAUAGUCGUCUUUCUUUAUCGUCCAUAGUAUUUUCGUUUUUUGCAACUGCGUGACUCUUACGGACGGAAUCCAAUCGUUGUUUAUUUGUUUUAGUGAGUUCUCUGGGCCACAUGAAUUAAUGUCUUUCCUGUUGAUUUUUUUUCAAGCUAGAAAACGGACACCUGACUUGGAACAUGCGUUGACCGACAAAUAUGACGUGUGCAUUCUGACAGGAGGAAAGCUCAGAGCAAUUGCCAAAGUCAUUCGUGGCUGUGAACAGGUCGUUCAACCAAUGGACGGAAUCUCCAUCCCGAGCCGGCCAUCGAUCAAUAUCAAAGAUUUUUCUUUGAUCUAUGAUUCGCUCUAAAGGAGAGGAGGAUAUCGCUAACAAACCUAAGAUGGGAGAUCUUGAUUCCCCAUGAAGGGGAUAAUAUGCUUAUUUUGAAUAGCUUCGGAGAUAGUUGAGGAGAGAAGUUGGAGAUAACAAGAAUGAAUAGAUAGGGAGAGAGCGCAUUUCUCUGUUCGGCGGCAAUUGUAAGUCACCACCGACUUUUGGCAUGAUAUCAAUGCUUCGUGGAAAACAUUGAAGAGAUUUCUCAUCUCAUACAUUAUUGUUUAGUGAUUCGAACUUUUGUACCAAAGCAUUUGAUACGUUGGAACCUAAAUAGUGUUUGGAUAUGUUUCGACGUGGAAGUUUUGAUGUCGUUCCAGUAACGUGCAAUCGAUGUUGCUAUUCUCACGUCAACUGUGAUGUUAGCAUGCUAAUAGUGUCAUGAUUAGCAAUGUCACUACACCGAAAUUAUAGCUGACUACACUACGGAACAUGAGUAUCGAUUUCAACAUCUUAUUGUCGAUAACUUGUAUGAUGCGCGAAAAUCCAGUCCAAAUAACUUAUAUACAAACAUUCAUGUCAGAUGUUGGUCCUGUUCCACAUCAAUCUCACUUCGAAAGUCAAGUUGGAGACGAGCUUCGCUCGCAGGAAUGUGUACAACGGUCGGAAGGUGAAUCAUUAACACUGUAUACCGUAGCAACCGACGUGUCGUCCAUGGAAAGCACGCUGUACGUCAGCACCGGCCGGCUUGCAGGAAGCACAGGCAAUGGUGUCUCCGAAUUCAGUGCGCUGAUCGCCUGUUUGAUCGAUGGCCGCAGGUUGUAGUCGGGAUGAGCACACCACAAUCCUACUACCAUCAAGCUCUCCAUCUGCUUCUCGUCGAAGUCGCCUUUUAGCUUCUCGUCCGCCGCUUCCAGGAUGGCUUGCCUUCCGUAGAGCUCCCACACCCACUCGGCUAGCCUCACCUUGUUCGGGUGCUCCAUUGGCUCGAUCGUCCUUCUCCCGCACGCGAUCUCCAACGCCACGAUUCCGAAGCCGUAGACAUCCGACUCUUUGCUGGCCUUGCCGGUGUAGAAGUAUUCAGGAGACAUGUAUNNNNNNNNNNNNNNNNNNNNGAUGACACUGCCGUUCCACAACACGGUCGCAGAGGAGUUGAUCGAAUUGACGUCGAUGCCGAGAUGUUCGCGUCUGGGAUCCCAUUUGUUGGAGAAGGUAUCGAACUCCACAGCCACGGCGUUAAUUGUGGAAUUUAUGAUGGUGCUAUUGCAGAAGAGGCCGAGGUAGCCACCUUCCGAAUAGACAGGCGUACCGAAAGAAGAAUAAUUGGCCGUGAGGAAGAACGCGAGGCCGUCGGCAUAGUUAUACUCGUGGGAGUGGAUGAGGAAGGCGAAUUGGGUGGUGAAAUCAGUCAGUUCUCCCGUCUUGGCAUCCCACAGGAGCAGCGCUUCAUUGUACAGUACUCUGCCGACGCCAGCCACGUUGGCUCCAUCCUUGGUGAGUUGUAUGGUGGUGUUGUCGAUGACUGCGUUGCCUUGAAAGGUCAUCUUCGAAUUUGUGUCUUGAUUGAAACUGGAGAAGUUGAAGGACAGAGAGCUCGUGCAGGCGAUCACGGUGGAGAAGCAGAACAAAAGGCAUAAAGUCCUCGCUCUGUGCGGCAUCAUGGCUGACAAAUUCACAGAGAUCAUUGCUCAUUAGAGAAGAAUGCCAACACAGCUUAGCAUCAUAAACCAGAUGUU